rnacentral:rRNA from 1 species
GUCUACGGCCAUGCCACCCCAUCCCGUCUGAUCUUGGAAGCUAAGAAGGGUGGUGCCUGGUUAGUACUUGGAUGGGAGACCACCUAGGAAGACCAGAUGCUGUAGGUG